GACGAACGCUGGCGGCGUGCUUAACACAUGCAAGUCGAACGGAAAGGCUCCAGCUUGCUGGUGUACUCAAGUGGCGAACGGGGGAGUAACACGUGGGUAAAAUGCCCUGCACUCGGGGAUAAGCCUGGGAAACUGGGACUAAUACUGGAUAUGUCCUUUCACCUCAUGGGGUUGGGUGGAAAGUCUUUCGGGGUAGGCUGAGGCCGCGGCCUAUCAGCUUGUUGGUGGGGUGAUGGCCUACCAAGGCGACGACGGGUAGCCGGCCUGGGAGGGUGAUCGGCCACCAUGGGCCUGAGGUACGGCGCAGACUGCUACGUUAGGCAGCAGUGGGAAAUCUUGCACAGUGGGCGGAAGCCUGAUGCGGCGGCGCCGCGUGUGGGAUGACGUCCUUCGGGUUGUAAACCUCAUGCAGCAGGGACGAAGCGUAAGUGACGUUACCUGCAGAAGAAGCACCGGCUAACUACGUG
rnacentral:rRNA from 1 species